CGUUAUCGUCCGUAAUAACUCUGGCCCAUGUAGUUUACAUUCUUCUACUUUAUCCCAGUUGCCCUUGAAAUCCAUAGCACAAACACGUAACGUAUCUUCGAUUGUCUGGAUCAUCAACCUGUGGGUUAUGGGCCCACCUUGAUGCCAUUUGAAAUCCCGAUUAGCUCGAAGCGUUGUCGUCGAGGACUAACGUUCUAACUUACUCGUAGACAUCAUCUCUAAUAACUGGACUCAAUUCCACGUAUUCUCUAUCAUUCACUUCUCACCUAUCAACCUCUAUCUACCAAUCUCUCCUUCUAAUCCAAUACAACUCAUACUCUACACUUACUCUUCAUAUCUCACAAAAACAAUAUACCUUUUUCCAAAUACCUAACAUGGUCAACAUACUAUGAACCAUGCAUCUUUAUCAUUCUCAAAUCAAUACAAUAGACCAUUUUCAACUAUGCAGUAUAGUCAGAAUACU
rnacentral:lncRNA from 1 species